GAAAGUCUUUCACAAGUUACGUUUGUGUAUCUCCGAGGUGGAUAUCCAAAAGGUGGUGGCCAACACACCCGGGGCCAUCGAGCCCAUCUUGUGUGCACUGAGGGAAAAGGUGGAGGACCGCACUGCUCAGGAGGACCCACCCGGCGCAGACGACCCAGGAGCCUCCAGUGCGCAUGCUGACGGGCCAUGGGUGGGGCUCACCACCCACACACACGCUGGUAGUAUCCAAAGCCCUGACUGGGGAAACUGAGGCCCUCAGAGCCCCUCUGGGCCUCCCGUGAGGGUAGCCCCUUAGAGACAAGGUGUGUGGCACUUGCGUUCACACACCUGCAGGGGAGGGCAGGUGUGCUCAGUUGCACACAGGGCCCAGUGGGCCUCCAGGAGGGCAGUUCCUCGCUCCAAGGGGACCACAGGGGAAGCCCUGGCCCCCUCACCUCCCAGGCACAGCCCCCCAGGUGGGGAGCCUGCAGCCCCUGUCCAUAGGCCACGCAGAGCGGCCGUUGCUCAAUGGACACAUGUCUAAACAGGGAGCCAUUCACAGGCCUCAGGGCUGCGUCACGGACGGUGUUAAGCCAGGCCCGUGCCGUGUGGCAUGUCUGUGGGCUCAGCCCGUCGCCCGCAGCUCUGUGCUGCUGCCAGUCGGGCUCCUCUCCGAGGCGCAGGCCCUGAGCUAGUGUGUCCACUGGUCUCGCAGGCCUACCGAGCCCCUCAGCGCCAUCUGGCGUGAAGACUCUUUGGAGUCAGAUGGCCAGAGGUGCAUGCAAAAGUCAGGACCCAGCUGGAGGGCCCUGGGAACACGCAGACCCCAGGGUGCAGCAGCUGCUGGAGGAGAAGGAGCAGGCUCUGGCUCUCCUGCAGGAGUCAGUCAAGAUUUUGCAGAUGAAGGUGGUCAGGUUGGAGCAGCUGGUAAAGCUGAAGGACCAGUGGAUUGGAGUGCUGUUGAGACCCACGGACAAGCCCCAGUGACAGAGAGGCCACAGAGAAGGCUCCUCCCAGAGGGCUCCUGGGGGAUUCGAAGGAAUGCUCCCUCCCCAAGUCGACUAGACCCUGAACUUGAACCCACAUGGGACUCCCCAGACCAGGGCUCUUCCAGAUGUGGCCGCCCGCAGUCCAGUAGGCUCAGAGCCGGGAUGUCUGUGUACAAAGCCCUCUGGAGCCCUCAGCAUGUGGAUAUUUGCAAGUCUGGAGCCCAGGGCCCCUCGGGCUGCACGUCCCAGGUUCCUGGGGUGUCGCCCAAGGUUCUUGCCUCCGGAGCCUGGUUUGGGCAUGAAGACUUAGCUCUGGUUCCCUUGAGCCCCGAGAUGUCUUGUCAUCAGCAUGAACAAGGAAACACAUCUGUGAACACAGAAAGUGUAGUUUGCGAGUGUAGCGUUCCUCCUGGUGUCCGAGGGCCCCAGGCUGGCUGCCAGCAUCGUGCGUCUGCCACCCUGAAGUCGUGCGGAGGAUUCUGUAGAAACAGCUCACUGGGAGGUUGCGUCCCCCUAGUCUGUCCACUUUCUGUGCUGAAGGGAGCCCAUGAAGAUGGGGAGGCUGUGUGCGUGCUGGCUACCAUCCCUGGGUGGUUCUGGGAGCCUCGCAGCUGUCCCCCGUGAUGGACUGGUCACUCCGCUUUGCUCGGGAGAGUUGGGGUCAGGGUGGAGCUGGGCCUUGAUCCAGUGUGGCUGCAGCCUCCUCACCACGGAUGGUCCCCACCCAGCCCACACGGGGUACGUGGCCUUGGGAUGGGGACUUCAGGGUGCCUUGAUGUGGCCAGGGUGCCCCAGAUGGUGAGGUUGGCUGGAGGGGACAGGCGAGGGGUGUGUUCUGCUGGCUUCUGUGUCCUAGCAUCCAGCCUGCCUUGCUUUUGCACCCAGAGUGGGGGGCUGGGAACAGCCCAGACUUUUAUUCUCUUCCUCCACCUGCUGCCCACCCCCAGGCUCCUGGGCCAAGAGCCUGGCCCCCUACAGGGUCUCAGGAAGCAGUGUCUCCUCCAGCCCUGAGUCAGGGCCCGCAACACAGGUCAGGGCUGCGAGACUCAGAGGACAGGUCCGAGGCCCUCCUUGAGAGUUGGGUUUUAAGCUCCAUAGGAGCAUGACUGAGGCAGAUUUGCUCCAUGAGCCAGGAAGCAUGUUGAGACUCAUGGGUUAGGAAGGCCCCCUGAUGGUGAUAGCCAGCUUAGCCCGUGCCCAGGCACCCAGUGGGUAGGGGCUGCAUCCAGGAGGGAGCUGUUCCCAGGAGGGGAGCCCUCAGUUGCCUUCUGGGUGGGCUGGGCGGGGCUGUCUCAGAGGUCUCCCCUCUGCACAGCUGCCCCUGCAGAACGAGGAGCCGCAGGAUCUGCGAGGGGUCCAGGCCUCGGUGGGGGCGUCCAGGCCCUGUCGGUUGUGGGAAUCUGGGCUACAUGCAGCACCUGCUGGUUCCUCGUGUCAAGAGCGGAAAGAUCCUCCCAGAGACAACACGGCCCAGAGCUCACCUCAGCUUGGCAGCUGAGGGAAUUACAGGAAAACCUGGCGGAGGGUCCAGCCCAGAGCCUGAGGCUGCUUCAGACCCCAUACCUGGCUGCCUGCCGCCAGGCUCCACAAGCCAGGAUGGGUGGCUACCACCGCUGCCUUGGUG
rnacentral:lncRNA from 1 species